GGGCGGAGAAAGGGGGGGCGGAGAAGAGGGGGCGGAGAACAGGAGAGAGAGGAGGGAAUCGAGGAGGAGGGAAGGGAAGGCAGCGGAGCUCAGCGGAUCCGAGAGGAGCUCAGCAACUCGGAGCUGAACUGAGCGCGCCGAGCGCUCCCCAGGCGCCGCUCUACCUGAGCUCCCCCGCCCCCUCUAGUGCCCCGCCCCCCACUGCGGCUCUACCUGCAUUCCCCCUCCGGGUAUCUGUUCCCAGCACCACCCCCCCUCAGCCAGGCACGCGCUGCUGCCGCUGCGGGACUGGCCGGGCACCUGGCACCUGGCGACCGCUGCGGGCACACCUCUCCACCUAGCUAGGCACUGGCAAGCGGGAGCCGCUCAGCCCGAGCAAGAGCUGGCGCGCAGACUGACAGACAGACAGACAGGCGGGUGGCCAGAAGGAGGGGACGCGAGAGAAGCAGGGUGCCGCCAACAAGGAAGAGCCCGCGGCCAACUUUGCCUCCGAGCGCCCAGGCUGAGCCUGUGCCCCCCAACAUGGCCUCCGCAGCCGCCGAAGCCCCGGGAGCCCAGGUGCUUUUGGGGAGACCGAAGAAUGGGAAGCAGAUGGGAUUAUGAAGGACCUGAGUAAGUGAAGUAUCCAAAGGACAACAAGCAGGUUAAUGAAGGGCUGUGAAAUGUCUUGUGAAGGUAGGUUCAAAGAGCUCAGGAUGUUUAGGCUGAAGAAGGGAAGAGUUAGGGGGCACACGAUGCUGUCUUUGUGUAUUUGAUGAGGUGUCACAAAGAAGAAGAGAUUGUUCUGGUUGGCCCUAGAGGGUAGAACCAGGAGCGGCAAGUGGAAGUUACAAAAGAACGAACAGAGGGGUGGGGAAAACUUCCUAACAUUCAAGCUACCCAUCCGUGGAAUGGGCUGCCUCUGGAUAGAAUGAGCUCCCUGGGAAGGAGUUCAUCAAUCAGAGGCUGGAUGUUGACAUUUCAGGAAUAUUCUAAAAGGGAUUCUAGUUCACGUCUGGAUUGAACUAGAUGAACCCCCAAAUCCCUUCAGUUCUGAGAUUCUAUGAUUUGAUGAAAAAAUUCGGCUGACACACAUGAAAUAGAAUAUACAACCAACAGUUUUCAAAGAACUAGAAUCAAGUGAAAUAUAUUCCCUAUCAAAACAAUGUUCCAAAGACUUUAAUCCUUCUCUGAUGAUUCUGAAGCCUGCAUUGCUUCAGGGUCGUUAAUGGGAAUAUCGUUUAUAAUUUUACUAUAGACUUAAGGAAGGCUUCACUAGCUGAGCCUGCCAGAUAAGCCAGCAUCUACACAGAAAUGCAUCUACGUGUGUAUGUCCUUCCUCUUCCAGGACGGGAUGAAGAAUGAAGGGGGGCGUGUCGUAGCGCUUUGUUAACCCCUCAUCUGUUCAAUGUCAGUAAUGUGGACAGUGUCUCUGGAAUGCUGGAGAAGAGAAUGCAUGGGAGAACAGGAGAGCUGACACUAAGUACUCGAAAGUCUUCUGGAUCCUAGAUUUAGAAUUGGAAGGACAUUGGAGAGCUAGCCUGUGGACGAGAGG
rnacentral:lncRNA from 1 species